GUGAGACUAGUGAUUCAUUCACUCCCCUUCCACCUGACCGAGUCUUAAGGUCACACACUCACUGCUCCCCUCUCUGUAUCUGGUAGGGGGGUUUAUUGAUUCACUCACUGUAUCCAGUGGGACUGCUCACAUAUCCCAGGUCUUUGUGAGGUCACUAAGAUGGACACCCCUCUGUAUCCUGAAGGACUGCCAAGCCUCUAUGAGAUCAGUUUUCUCUGAAAUGUACUCUUUGCAGCAGAAUAUGAAGACAGAUGUAAAAUAAGACUCAUUCCCUAAUUUAGGGCUCAGUCCUUUGCUCGGGAGAAAGAUAGGACACAUCUGCAGAAGUAACACAUUUAGGACCCUAUCAUGCGGCGUAUUGAGUGCUUCUAGCCUGAUGACCCAUGUCCUGUAGAAUUCUGCUCUUAAUUCUCAGGCAGAAGAAAUUGAACAUUAAUUUUCUCCCAGAUCAGCAAGGAGAUGUCAGUUAAGCUGCAG